GCCGCAAUAGCUCAGCUGGUAGAGCACGUCAUUCGUAAUGAUGGGGUCGGGGGUUCGAUUCCCUCUUGCGGCACCA
rnacentral:tRNA from 3 species